CCUUCAUUGAUGAUUAGCUUUUGACUUUCGUUCUUCUGAGUUUGCUGAAGCCAGAUGCCAUUCCUGAGAAGG